rnacentral:tRNA from 1 species
AGGGGUAUAGCUCAAGUGGCAGAAUGCAUGCCUAGCAUGCACAAGGUUCUGGGUUCAAAUCCUAGUACCUCCA